UACAGAGGGGGCAAGCGUUAUUCGGAAUUACUGGGCGUAAAGAGUGUGUAGGCGGUGUUCCCAGUCUGUUGUGAAAUCUCCCGGCUUAACUGGGAGGGUGCAGCGGAAACUAGAAUGCUAGAGGGUGGGAGAGGUAAGCGGAAUUCCUGGUGUAGCGGUGAAAUGCGUAGAUAUCAGGAGGAACACCAGUGGCGAAGGCGACUUCCUGGCCUGUUCUUGACGCUGAGGCGCGAAAGCUAGGGGAGCAAACGGG
rnacentral:rRNA from 1 species